rnacentral:snRNA from 1 species
AACCUUGCACAGUGGCAAUAUCGUAACCAAUGAAGGCCUCCUGAGGUGCGAUUAUUGCUGGAUGAAAGUACGAAAUUGGCCAGAGAUACAAUAAACAUGCAUGCUGCAACGGAUGAAAUCAGUGAUGUCCAACACUGGCUAUAAAACCACAUUUUGAAACAAUUUAAACUGUGAAAAUU